UACGUGAAACCGUUCAGGGGUAAACGGGAGAAAUCCUGAAUUCGAAUGGGAUUAGGAUUCAGGGUCAUCCGGUUGCGUCAGGCUUGCUGUCCCGCCAGAUGUUGCUGGUCGCCCGCCGCGAUUCGCGUCGCGUGCGGUGUCGUUCCCGGCGAUCACUCGGUUGGGGUGUUUGCUCUGCCAGCUGGGGUCCUGCACUUCCUCCCUAGUAGAAACGUCGCGACCCGUUGGGUGUCGGUCUAAGGCCCGGGAAGGCAGCCCACGUGUCCUGCGUUGUGUACGCAGGCGUGUGGACUCCUGGUGUCCCGGCCGGCUGCUCGACGGUAUGACCAGAGGAGUCGAUCCGCUGAUAUGGAAGCAUUUUGUGUGUGUAGCGUCCAGCCCGGCGCCGACACGUGUGGGAUUGUGGUCUAGGCCUUGGGUACCCGUGCUCUGCACGGUCCCGGCCCUGCUGCGUGUUCGGAAUGCUGGUGUCCUUGGACUGGAUCGCCACUCCCGUCAGCGACGCCCAAUCUUCGG
rnacentral:rRNA from 1 species